rnacentral:rRNA from 1 species
GCCUACGGGGGGCAGCAGUGGGGGAUAUUGCACAAUGGGGGGAACCCUGAUGCAGCGACGCCGCGUGGGCGAUGGAGUGCUUCGGCAUGUAAAGCCCUAUCAGCAGGGAAGAAAAUGACGGUACCUGACUAAGAAGCCCCGGCUAAAUACGUGCCAGCAGCCGCGGUAAUACGUAUGGGGCAAGCGUUAUCCGGAUUUACUGGGUGUAAAGGGAGCGUAGGCGGCCUGGCAAGUCUGAUGUGAAAUACCGGGGCCCAACCCCGGGACUGCAUUGGGAACUG